CGCACUGUACGGUAUCUGCACUCAAUGGAGUUUCUGUUGGGGUGUUCAUUAAACAGUGCAACACUAAAUCAGCAAAUGGCAUCGUUGGUUUCCAGGCCUCUUGUGUUUGUAAACCUGGUUUUACGGCUGAGACAACA